CCCUCUCAGAGGUGUCGCCUUGCAACCCGCCUUGAGCGCCUAGGCGUUGAGGCGCCUCCCAGCCUUGGGACACCUGGCCGCCUUUAAAACCAUGGAUUGAAGAUUGUGAAUCCAAUCAUUUGGAAAAAGCAGCUGGUCUUCUUAGCCCUGUUGGCUCUGAUUUUAAGCUCUCCAAAGGUGGCUUUGAGAGUGUAUAGAAUCUAUGUUGAUGUAUUAAGCCUUCCAUCUUCACCGAGGGAAGCAAUGGCUCUACGGGACAAAACGAAGGAGUUAUUGAGGACAUGGAUCCUCUCCAUUCUUAUCUUAACCCUCUUUGUAACUUUAACAAUUUUCUUAUUUUAUUUGAUCUAUAUGUAUGUACAGAAUUUUGAUUAAGAUCCCUGUAUUUGAUCAAUUUAUGGAGUUAUUGAGCUAUA